UAGAGUUUGAUCAUGGCUCAGGAUGAACGCUAGCGACAGGCCUAACACAUGCAAGUCGAGGGGCAGCACGGUGUAGCAAUACACGGGUGGCGACCGGCGCACGGGUGAGUAACGCGUAUGCAACCUGCCUACUACAAGGGGAUAACCCGUUGAAAGACGGACUAAUACCCUAUAACACAGGGAAUCCGCAUGGAUAUAUUUGUUAAAGAUUUAUCGGUAGUAGAUGGGCAUGCGUUCCAUUAGCUUGUUGGUGAGGUAACGGCUCACCAAGGCAACGAUGGAUAGGGGAACUGAGAGGUUGAUCCCCCACACUGGAACUGAGACACGGUCCAGACUCCUACGGGAGGCAGCAGUGAGGAAUAUUGGUCAAUGGACGAGAGUCUGAACCAGCCAAGUCGCGUGAAGGAAGACGGCCCUACGGGUUGUAAACUUCUUUUGUAAGGGAAUAAAUAGUCUUACGAGCUAAGACGUUGCAGGUACCUUACGAAUAAGGAUCGGCUAACUCCGUGCCAGCCGCCGCGGUAAUACA
rnacentral:rRNA from 1 species